rnacentral:rRNA from 1 species
CCUACGGGUGGCAGCAGUGGGGGAUAUUGCACAAUGGGGGAAACCCUGAUGCAGCGACGCCGCGUGGGCGAAGAAGUAUUUCGGUAUGUAAAGCCCUAUCAGCAGGGAAGAAGAAAUGACGGUGCCUGAGUAAGAAGCACCGGCUAAAUACGUGCCAGCAGCCGCGGUAAUACGUAUGGUGCACGAGGUAUCCGGAUUUACUGGGGGGAACGGGAGCGCAGGGGGCACGGGAAGGCCGAUGUGAAAGCCCGCGGCCCAACCGCGGGACUGCAUUGGGAACUACCGGGCUGGAGUGCCGGAGAGGUAGGCGGAAUGCCUAGUGUAGCGGUGAAAUGCGUAGAUAUUAGGAGGAACACCAGUGGCGAAGGCGGCCUACUGGACGGUGACUGACGCUGAGGCUCGAAAGCGUGGGGAGCAAACAGGAUUAGAUACCCCUGUAGUC